AGAGUUUGAUCAUGGCUCAGAACGAACGCUGCGGCAGGCUUAACACAUGCAAGUCGAACGCACCUUUCGGGGUGAGUGGCAGACGGGUGAGUAACGCGUGGGAACGUGCCCUUCAGUUCGGGAUAACCCAGGGAAACUUGGGCUAAUACCGGAUACGUGCGAGAGCAGAAAGAUUUAUCGCUGAAGGAUCGGCCCGCGUCUGAUUAGCUAGUUGGUGGGGUAAUGGCCCACCAAGGCGACGAUCAGUAGCUGGUCUGAGAGGAUGAUCAGCCACAUUGGGACUGAGACACGGCCCAAACUCCUACGGGAGGCAGCAGUGGGGAAUAUUGGACAAUGGGCGCAAGCCUGAUCCAGCCAUGCCGCGUGAGUGAUGAAGGCCUUAGGGUUGUAAAGCUCUUUCGUCCGGGACGAUAAUGACGGUACCGGAAGAAGAAGCCCCGGCUAACUUCGUGCCAGCAGCCGCGGUAAUACGAAGGGGGCUAGCGUUGUUCGGAAUCACUGGGCGUAAAGGGCGCGUAGGCGGCUUUGUAAGUCGGGGGUGAAAGCCUGUGGCUCAACCACAGAAUUGCCUUCGAUACUGCAUGGCUUGAGACCGGAAGAGGUAAGUGGAACUGCGAGUGUAGAGGUGAAAUUCGUAGAUAUUCGCAAGAACACCAGUGGCGAAGGCGGCUUACUGGUCCGGUUCUGACGCUGAGGCGCGAAAGCGUGGGGAGCAAACAGGAUUAGAUACCCUAGUAGUCC
rnacentral:rRNA from 1 species